UCAUGACUCUUUCUUAGUUGUAACUGCUAGGAAAUCCUGAGUGGAACUUGUAGCCGACCUUUCCUUAAGCAAUAGCGUGGGAUUUUUACUGCACGCACUUGUGGGUAACAGCUUUUCCCUUUCCUAUAGCCUCGUCUUAAAACUGUACCUUUUAAAAACAUUUUUGCAUGGAUUUAUUUAUCUACCGCAAAUGGCAUGCAGAGGAGAAAAUGCGGGCUGGUGGGUGGGGCUUCCAGAGCAGGCAGUAAACUGGAGUCUAUUUGCUUACACAGAUUUAAUCUCCAGUGUUGAUGGCUGACCCUUUCAGCCCCAGCUGCCCUAGAUAGGAGCACCUCGCUGGAAAAGUGGACAGUGUGGUCACUGAGAGAGGUAGGAAGGAAAUGACUGUCGAGAUACGUGUUGCUAAUCAGCUCCAAAUGUGACGGUUCAAUCAAGACAGCUAAGUUACGAUGGAAGGCAGAGAUGAACUUUGGCCUUGCUGAAGGAUGAUGGCAAGAGAAUCAUCAGGUCUCCAAGACGGUUGGGAAGGCCCGAUUAGUGUUUCUGGAAUGUGUGUCAUCAUAAAAAUCACCAUAGGCAGCGAGCAAGCCAAGCAUUUUGAGAUUUGUAACAACUUGUAAUCAGUCACCUGUCUGAUCCCGAGUUUUGCCAGAUUCUGAAACACCACAUUUCCUAUCACAGGUCCGUCCCAUCAGAGCAAACCUUCACCUAAGUGGUUGUUCGGCUCCUAAUGUGUGAGUUUCUUGGAAUAGCCCCAUAGGCAGCGUCUCAAAUUCUUCCCUCUAGCAGCUCAUCUGGAAAGGAGGCACCAGGGACUGUAUUCUACUUAUGGCUGAAAAGCUUCCGUGGGUCUGUUACUCCAGUCGGCAGACCGUCAGGGUUGGAAAUAGCAACUCCGGGGCAAGUGUUCAUGCCUCCUGCCCCCGCAGCCCACUCCGCUUCUGUGAACUCAGCAGUGACUGGACACAGGCCGAUCGCCUCCGUUUUCUCGUUUCGAGGCCGCGUGCACCCGGACUGUGCUACACGACACAGGUCAAUAUUAACCAAGACUUAACCACGCCGACUAGGAUACGAUGGACUCUCCCCAGGUUAAAACAUGGCCUCAGACGGAAGCGGUCUACUACACGGUUGAACAGGAGAAAACAGUUCCUACUUAGCACAACCCGCCAAUGAAGGCUGGUUUCCCAUCUGUUUGCAGGAGGAAAUUAGCCAGCCCAGCCACACAACCAAAUGCCAUGAGCGGCCUCCACGGUCACCCUAUCUGAUGAUAAUACAGGGCAAAGGUAGACAAUUCUGCUCUCCCAAAUGAUGUGAAAGCCUUUUCUCCUGGAAAAAAAAAAAAUCUCCAUUCCAGUUUCCAACAGCCUGAGAACCAUCUCAGCAAGAAAAAACAGUCAGUCAAUGGUAUGGAGUUGACUUUGACAAUUGUUCAACAACAGUUUCACAUGUAUGGUAUGUUUCCUAAAGUGUACUUACUCUCUAUUUCGUAAUCUGUCCGUCACUCACCAUUAAACGACAGCAGGUUUUUACAAGCAGCGGAUCAAUCAUUAUCAGAGACUGAACAUACUUCAUACACAGGCGCUCACACUGCGUUUCACCCCGUCUGUUCUUCUGAGCGGUGCUGACAUCGUUGUUUCCCGAAGGUGGUGGAUGUCAUGGAAUUCGAGCCUUCAGGCCCCCUCCUACCCAUCUGUGAGGGCUUAAUGGGAGUUUUCUUUCUCCUUCCGUGCUCUGGACACAAGGAAACAUGGGACAUCCAAAAAAGCCUUCGGGAGUCCAACUGCAAAACCCAUGUCAGUGACAUGGUGUGAUGGAUGAUUUUAAUAUGACAAGCUUAGGUAUGCGAACAAGCUAUGUUUAUCAUUCUUGUGGUACCGUGAAUGUGGUUAUUCUCGUGAACGUGUCAUUCCUGCAUGUCCGGUAUUGAGAUGAAUUUGCUAAAACUGCUUUGGCCUUCAAGUAAGCUCUAACUAACUUUGUGAGUCUGUAUGUGUCUCUGUAUGUCAGAUAAACUUACCUCUGUCUUUGCUGUUCUAAUUGAUUGUGUAUACUGGAAAGCAAGAAGCAAACGUGGCUUUUAGUAACCAUAUUGCUUUUUUUCUUUGCAAGUGUUCUGUUCUAUAAACUACCUUCACGUGAAAUCAUAGUCUCCAUGG